AGACAAAAGCACACAGUUUCGUCCGUUGUAAUCUUAGCGGCCGUCUCGGAGCAUGCGGCGGUCGCUGUAAGGCCAGCGGAACAACAAACGCUGCCAUUUUUACGCUAGACUGUUGUUUGUCGCUCAAGCUAAAGCCAAAUAAUUUAGGCGUGGGCUCACAAUUAUCUUAUUUUAAAUGAAACGC
rnacentral:snoRNA from 1 species